rnacentral:rRNA from 1 species
UACGUAGGUGGCAAGCGUUGUCCGGAUUUACUGGGCGUAAAGCGCGCGCAGGCGGAUGGUUAAGUAGGAAGUGAAAGGUUGGAGCUCAACUCCAACAUUGCUCCCUAUACUGGCCGUCUUGAGUCCCGGAGAGGAAAGCGGAACGACACGUGGAGCGGUGAAAUGCGUUGAUAUGUGUCGGAACACCAAUGGCGAAGGCAGCUUUCUGGACGGGUACUGACGCUCAGGCGCGAAAGCCGAGGUAGCGAAC